rnacentral:rRNA from 1 species
CGGAGGGAUCAUUACUGAGUUUACGCUCUAUAACCCUUUGUGAACAUACCUAUAACUGUUGCUUCGGCGGGCAGGGUCUCCGUGACCCUCCCGGCCUCCCGCCCCCGGGCGGGUCGGCGCCCGCCGGAGGAUAACCAAACUCUGAUUUAACGACGUUUCUUCUGAGUGGUACAAGCAAAUAAUCAAAACUUUUAACAACGGAUCUCUUGGUUCUGGCAUCGAUGAAGAACGCAGCGAAAUGCGAUAAGUAAUGUGAAUUGCAGAAUUCAGUGAAUCAUCGAAUCUUUGAACGCACAUUGCGCCCGCCAGCAUUCUGGCGGGCAUGCCUGUUCGAGCGUCAUUUCAACCCUCAAGCUCUGCUUGGUGUUGGGGCCCUACAGCUGAUGUAGGCCCUCAAAGGUAGUGGCGGACCCUCCCGGAGCCUCCUUUGCGUAGUAACUUUACGUCUCGCACUGGGAUCCGGAGGGACUCUUGCCGUAAAACCCCCCAAUUUUCCAAAGGUUGACCUCGGAUCAGGUAGGAAUACCCGCUGAACUUAAGCAUAUCAAUAAGCGGAGGAAAAGAAACCAACAGGGAUUGCCUCAGUAACGGCGAGUGAAGCGGCAACAGCUCAAAU